rnacentral:rRNA from 1 species
UCCUGGCUCAGGAUGAACGCUAGCGGCAGGCUUAACACAUGCAAGUCGAGGGGCAGCGGGGGCGCGCUUGCUCGUCCCGCCGGCGACCGGCGCACGGGUGAGUAACACGUAUGCAACCUGCCCCCGCCAGGGGUACAACCCUCCGAAAGGGGGGCUGAUACCGCGUACAUCCCCCGGGGGCAUCCCCGGGGGAGGAAAGCCCUACGGGGCGGGCGGGGAUGGGCAUGCGGCGCAUUAGGAAGACGGCGGUGUGACGGACCACCGUUCCAACAAUGCGUAGGGGUUCUGAGAGGAAGGCCCCCCACACUGGUACUGAGACACGGACCAGACCCCUGCGGUAGACAGCAGUGAGGAAUAUUGGUCAAUGGUGGGGGGACUGAACCAGCCAAGCGGCGUGAGGGAGGAAGGUACAGAGUAUCGUAAACCUAUUUUGUCAGAGAACAAAGGCGGGGACGUGUCCCCGGAUGAGUGUACCUGAAGAAAAAGCAUCGGCUAACUCCGUGCCAGCAGCCGCGGUAAUACGGAGGAUGCGAGCGUUAUCCGGAUUUAUUGGGUUUAAAGGGUGCGCAGGCGGUCUGUUAGGUCAGCGGUCAAAGCCCGGGGCUCAACCCCGGCCCGCCGUUGAAACUGGCAGUCUCGAGUUGGAGAGAAGUAUGCGGAAUGCGCGGUGUAGCGGUGAAAUGCAUAGAUAUCGCGCAGAACUCCGAUUGCGAAGGCAGCAUGCCGGCUCCACACUGACGCUGAGGCACGAAAGCGUGGGUAUCGAACAGGAUUAGAUACCCUGGUAGUCCACGCAGUAAACGAUGAAUGCUGGCUGUCCGGGGGGAUUGACCCCUGGGUGGCGAAGCGAAAGCGAUAAGCAUUCCACCUGGGGAGUACGCCGGCAACGGUGAAACUCAAAGGAAUUGACGGGGGCCCGCACAAGCGGAGGAACAUGUGGUUUAAUUCGAUGAUACGCGAGGAACCUUACCCGGGCUCAAACGGGGAGUGACUCAGGCAGAGACGCCUGUUUCCCACGGGACACUCCCCGAGGUGCUGCAUGGUUGUCGUCAGCUCGUGCCGUGAGGUGUCGGCUUAAGUGCCAUAACGAGCGCAACCCCCGCGUGCAGUUGCUAACAGAUAACGCUGAGGACUCUGCACGGACUGCCGGCGCAAGCCGCGAGGAAGGCGGGGAUGACGUCAAAUCAGCACGGCCCUUACGUCCGGGGCGACACACGUGUUACAAUGGGUGGUACAGCGGGAAGCCAGGCGGCGACGCCGAGCGGAACCCGAAAUCCACUCUCAGUUCGGAUCGGAGUCUGCAACCCGACUCCGUGAAGCUGGAUUCGCUAGUAAUCGCGCAUCAGCCAUGGCGCGGUGAAUACGUUACCGGGCCUUGCACACACCGCCCGUCA